UAUGGCCAUUACCACUCUGAAUGCGCCCGAUCUCGUCUGAUCUCAGAAGCUAAGCAGGGUGGGGCCUGGUUAGUACUUGGAUGGGAGAAAACUGCAUUUCAAGUAUUACCAAGC
rnacentral:rRNA from 1 species